rnacentral:rRNA from 1 species
CGAAGGGGGCGUAGCGUUGUCGGAAUUACUGGGCGUAAAGCGCGCGCAGGCGGUUCUUCAAGUCAGAGGUGAAAGCCCAGAGCUCAACUCUGGAAUGGCCUUUGAGACUAGAGAACUAGGGUACGGGAGAGGUGAGUGGAAUUCCGAGUGUAGAGGUGAAAUUCGUAGAUAUUCGGAAGAACACCAGUGGCGAAGGCGGCUCACUGGCCCGUUACCGACGCUCAGGCGCGACAGCGUGGGGAGCAAACAGGAUUAGAUACCCUGGUAGUCCACGCCGUAAACGAUGGAUGCUAGCCGUUGGUAAGCAUGCUUAUCAGUGGCGCAGCUAACGCAUUAAGCGUCCCGCCUGGGGAGUACGGCCGCAAGGUUG